rnacentral:rRNA from 1 species
UACAGAGGUCUCAAGCGUUUGUUCGGAUUCAUUGGGCGUAAAGGGUGUGUAGGUGGCGCGCUAAGUCGGGUGUGAAAUUUCGGAGCUUAACUCCGAAACUGCAUUCGAUACUGGCGUGCUUGAGGACUGGAGAGGAGACUGGAAUUUACGGUGUAGCAGUGAAAUGCGUAGAUAUCGUAAGGAAGACCAGUGGCGAAGGCGGGUCUCUGGACAGUUCCUGACAC